rnacentral:rRNA from 1 species
UGGGGAAUAUUGCACAAUGGGCGCAAGCCUGAUGCAGCCAUGCCGCGUGUAUGAAGAAGGCCUUCGGGUUGUAAAGUACUUUCAGCGGGGAGGAAGGGGGUAAAGUUAAUACCUUUGCCCAUUGACGUUACCCGCAGAAGAAGCACCGGCUAACUCCGUGCCAGCAGCCGCGGUAAUACGGAGGGUGCAAGCGUUAAUCGGAAUUACUGGGCGUAAAGCGCACGCAGGCGGUUUGUUAAGUCAGAUGUGAAAUCCCCGGGCUCAACCUGGGAACUGCAUCUGAUACUGGCAAGCUUGAGUCUCGUAGAGGGGGGUAGAAUUCCAGGUGUAGCGGUGAAAUGCGUAGAGAUCUGGAGGAAUACCGGUGGCGAAGGCGGCCCCCUGGACGAAGACUGACGCUCAGGUGCGAAAGCGUGGGGGGCAAACAGG